CAAACUACUAACGUUAUCGACUCAAAAACUACACUUCCCAGAGUUCCGAUUUCCGCUGCGUGAUGCCGCCUGUGACAGUCUGAGUUGGUUUUUGACCUAAGAUAAGUCAACAUUCAGUGAUUUGGAUGAAGAGCUUUUAAGUGAUGUAAACUAUUUGUACUGUAAGAGCCUCGGAGCUGUAGGGGUCAUGCAGUGAAUGGCUCCUGGCACGAAGGUUGGAACUUCUGACUGCGGCUUCUGUUCUGCUGGCUUUCGCUCAUGCCUGAUGUCAGGAUGGCGGCAUAUGUCCACAGCAAGGGUGUGUCCUGGGAGGUUAAAAAUGACACCUUGAUGCCAUCAGAUCGACUCCGGCAAGACAGAUCAGAGAGUCCGACCCCAGGCCUGGUGGAGGGCACUGAGCCAGGUGCAGGACAGGAAGGUGCCAUGUUUGUUCAUGCUCAGUCUUUUGAGGACCUGACUGCUGAUAGUGAGCCCAACACUGAUAACAAAUCUGCAGAGGUGGACGACGCUCAAGAAGAGGCUCUGGAAGAAGGAGACGAGGAGGAACACUUAGAGUCUGAGCAGGAGGAAAAGGGGAAAGAGGAGCUGAAGAACAGCAACAAGGCAAAGGAGGAGGAUGUGACGAGCGAAACAUGGCGGAGCCACAGAAAGCAUGUUUUCGUCUUGAGUGAGGCAGGGAAACCAAUCUACACACGCUACGGCACAGAGGAGGCGCUCUCCAGCAUUAUGGGGGUCAUGAUGCUGCUUAUGUCAUUUGUGGAAGAUAAGAAGAACAUCAUACGCUCUAUUCAUGCAGAUGGCUACAGGGUGGUAUUUCUCAGGAAGACCCCUCUUAUCCUGGUGGGAGUCUCUCGCACAAGCUGUUCAGACCGGGAAUUAACACGAGAGCUUCAGUAUGUGUAUUUCCAGAUAGUCAGCCUGCUCACCCUCACACAGCUGAACCACGUCUUCCAGCACCGGCAGAGCUACGACCUGCGCCGCCUGCUGGCCGGCUCAGAGCAUCUCACCGACAACCUGCUGCGCCUCCUGGACCGAGACCCCGGCCUGCUGCUGAGCGCCGUGAUGUGUCUUCCUCUGGCCAACUCAGCCCGUGACGUUGUCUCCUCCAGCUUACAGGCCGCUAAAGCUAAAAACCUAGUAUUCUCCAUCUUACUCGCUGGAAACAGGCUGGUGACACUUGUGCGUAAAAAGGACCAGUUCCUGCACCACAUGGACCUGCACUUGCUCUUCAACUUGGUCGGCUCUUCAUCCUCCUUUCGUGAAGGUGAGGGAUGGACGCCCAUAUGUCUGCCCAAGUUUAACCCGGCUGGAUUUUUCCAUGCCCAUAUUUCUUACCUAGAGCCUGCCUCAGAUUUGUGUCUGAUCCUGGUGUCCACCGAUCGUGAGGAUUUCUUUAACCUCUCUGACUGUAAGAAGCGCUUCCUGGAGCGUUUGCGCAGACGCAGUGCCUAUCAGUCCCUGCAGGAGGCGCUGAACACACCAAGCUACUCCCUCUCACAGGUCGGCAUACCUGAGCUAAGACACUUUGUCUACAAAUCUAAAAGCUCUGGGCUCUAUACGAGCCCUGAUCUUCCAGCACUGUAUGAGGGGGGAGAGGAGCAAGAGAGGUUGAUGGGGUUGUAUCAGCACCUGCACAGCUGCCUGCAUCACCCCACACGUCCACUGCGCUGCAUCUACCGCUGCACAGACACCGAAAAUCUCUAUGCCUUGGUAACCAGUGGCUUUGAGCUCUACCUGUGCUUCAGUCCUCUGGGAACAAAGAGUCUCGCUGUAUCUGCUGUCAACAGACUCCUGAAGUGGAUCAGGAAAGAGGAGGACCGACUGUUUAUACUCAGUCCCUUAACAUACUGAGCCAGUUCAGCACUCCUGAACGCCAGAAACACUAGUGAAUGUGCUAAUACUUGAAUGAAUCAAUGGUGAUAUAAAGGGCUUGCUUGCUUGUUUGAGGGCUUCUCACACUCAUAAACGGCAGUCAGUGUAAAUCAGGAAGGUUUAAACUUAGUAAAGAGUAUCUAAUCAUUCCUAUUAGCAGUUGUCAAAGCAUGAAUUGCAACAUUUAAAGGGACAGUUCACCUAAAAUGAACAUUCUGUCUAUAUUUACUCCCUCACUUAUUCAAAACCUAUUUGAGUUUCUUCUGUUGAACACAAAAGGAGAUGUUUUAAAAAUGCUGUUUGCUGGGACUCAUUGAUUUCCUGCAUUAGUCUUUCCAUGGCAUUUUUCAAAAUUCCGUCUUUAUUAAUUUUUUUUUCUGUUGAACACUAAAGUUUUUUCAAGAGAUUUUUUUUUCCCAAAGCAUCCAUUAACUUUCAUAUGAUUUUGUUUUAUUCCUGCUAUAGAUGUGGCAGCUUUUUUUCACAUUCUUUAGAAUAUCUUGUUUUGUGCUUACCAGAAGAAUGAAAUGCAUAGUUAAAGCCACUUGAGUGUGAGAAAAUGAUGAAGAAAUGUACAAUUUUGGGGUGAACUAUCCCUUAAUAAAUGCUUUUAAGUGCGCCUAUAAUUCAGUGAAAAAACAUUAAGGGAGGUAGAUAAGAUCUUAUAAAUGCUCACAAUGUUGCAUUCUGAACAUUUAGACCUCUGCUUUUUAAUUGAGUAGACCUACCACUGUUUCAACUUUACAUCAGAUGUUUUAUAUGAGCCAAGUUUAAUCUAUAGUUUACCCAAAAAUUAAGAUCAUCAUUCACUCACCCUUGUGCUGUUCCUAUGUGUGUCUCCCCCCAUCCUCCUGCUUUUUUCAUGUAUUAAAGUAGUCAACAGCCACAAGCAAAGCUGCUUGUUUACAUUUUUGCAGUUGUAAAAAAUUAAGAUAAGUAGAAAAACAACUCCACAAAUUUAUAUACUUGCAUCUCUAUGGGAAUAUUCAAUUUUUUUUUCCCUCACAGCAUAAAGUUAUUGCAUUCAUGUGUCAGCUGUCAUUCAGACUUUCAUCCGAUGUGAUGGAACUAUGCUCACUUUUUUAUUAUGAGUUUGAUUUCAUGUUUAUUAAUCUUGAUGCAUCUUUUCUAGUCACGUUGAGCAAACUGACACACUAACAGAGCUCGUGCAUGAAGACAAACAUCAGGUAGAUCUUGUCAUUUAUCGAAUAAUACAUAGAAUUUUGGGAUCCCACUAAAUAGUUUAAAUAUAAAUGACACAUAUCAUCUGGGACAAUUCUGUGAUAUAUUUGCAUCUUUUUUAAUAACUUUAUCUUGGUUGUUAAUUACAGUAUGCACCAUUAUUUUCCUGUUAUUUUUGGUUGAAUAUUUUGAAUGAGACAAAAGGGCUUAUGGCAUUGCACUGUGAAAGGCAAUUAGUUACUUGGAAAAAAGUUAGUAAAUGCCAUUGGCUUAAAAGAAACAAGUUGACUUCACUUAAAGUGAGUAAAUUUGUAACUUGAAAGUGUUAAGUUGACUUAAUUUUUAUAAUUAUGUGCAUAGUUCAUUUACUUAAAAAUUUUAGGGCAAUGUAUUUACUCACUUUUUUAAAGCACAGUCAAUUACACCAGAGAAAUAUUUUUCUUACUUCAAAUUUUUGUCUUUUAUUAAGUCCAAAUGUCAAAAAAUUCUUAAAUCAAGAAGCAUUUUCUAGACAAGCAAAAAAAAGUCUUGUUUUCAGAAAUAUUAAGCGAGAUUUUCUCUUAAAACAAGCAAAAAUAAUCAGCCAACACUCAAAAACAUAAAAUAUUGUUGGUGCUUGUUCAAACUGCAUAUUUAAAAUGAGCUGCAUCAACACAAUUUCUGUGUUUUUUUAACAACGUAAUUGUUUUAUGUUCAAUCCACUUAAAUUUGCAAAAACAAUCAAGUUAACCAAAUUAUUUAAGUUGGGACAAUAUGAUGAAAUUGUGUGGAACCCUUAAUUUUUUCAAAGUGAAUGGAGUAAGAAAAAUUAUUUUGUUUUCUCUUUGAUAUAAGGUACCUUUGCAGAUUAUUUUGCUUGUUUUAAUGAUAAACACACCUAAUUUUCACAUGUUAUUUCUAAAAAAAAAAAGACAAUAUUUUAUGCUUGUCUAAACAAUCCUUGGUUCAAGAAUUAAAAAAAUAUUUUGACUAGAAACAAGACAAAAACCCUAAGUAAAAAAACAACAUUUUUUUGCAGUGUUAUGGCUUUUUACAGCGUGCAACCGCACUACAGCAUUUAAAUAAUGGCAUAUUUUUCUUUUUUGGGUGAACUAUCCUUUAAAUAAUUGCUACUAAUUACUUUAAUAUAUUUUACGGUGGCCUUAAUAUUAAUUUUUUUUCAUGAGGGGUAUAUAACAGGUGUAUAAAUAAGUGUAGUGGGACUAAAAGUAUCUUUUAUCUCACCAAACUGACUGUUUAUAAUAGGUGUUUAAUUUCAGACGCUACAAACUUGAAGAUGCUCCACAGGUGAAUCGGUCUGUAUUUCUGUCAAAUGUUUGUCAGUGACUGAUCAGGUGAUAUUUAAGUAAAUUUCUGAGGACCAAUCAAUCUGAGGUAAAUGGAACUUGUCAUGUUUAGAUUUUCAGAUUUUUUUUUUAUCAUUUUUACUUAUUUGAAAGAGUGAGAAAAGUGACAUUGUGUGUGUCUAGAGGACCUCUGAAGUGCUCAUCCAUUCAUGUUCUUGUUAUUCCAGUGCUGUAGGACUUGAAUGUUAAUGAAGCCAGAGGAAAAUUGGUUGUAAUUUUGCACAAAUGGUGGUGGCGACACUUAUGCUUAUGCUUCGAUAUCAAUUUAACAAACAUUUAAAGAAAUUAAAUGCAUUUAUAGAAGACUUAAA